rnacentral:siRNA from 1 species
AUUAAACAAGGUUGAUGAGUCGGU